GAUGAAUGCUGGCGGCGUGCCUAACACAUGCAAGUCGAGCGGCAGCGCGAGUAGUUUACUACUUGGCGGCGAGCGGCGGACGGCUGAGUAACACGUGGGAACGUGCCCCAAAGUGAGGGAUAACGCACCGAAAGGUGUGCUAAUACCGCAUAUGGUCUUCGGAUUAAAGAUUUUAUUCGCUUUGGGAGCGGCCCGCGGCGGAUUAGGUAGUUGGUAGGGUAAUGGCCUACCAAGCCGACGAUCCGUAGCUGGUCUGAGAGGAUGAUCAGCCAGACUGGAACUGAGACACGGUCCAGACUCCUACGGGAGGCAGCAGUGAGGAAUCUUCCACAAUGGGCGAAAGCCUGAUGGGGCAACGCCGCGUGCAGGAUGAAGGCCUUCGGGUUGUAAACUGCUUUUAUAAGUGAAGAAUAUGACGGUAACUUAUGAAUAAGCACCGGCUAACUACGUGCCAGCCGCCGCAGUAA
rnacentral:rRNA from 1 species